AAAGCUAAGGUGCCUUUGCCAACCUUCUAUUUCCCUUUGACAAGCACUGUGUUUUCUGAGGGAAAUCGCUCUAAAUGGGAUCAGGUCCUACACGCCUGUUGUGUGCAAAUACAAUUUAAUGGUACAACCUC
rnacentral:lncRNA from 1 species